UUCACAACCAUAUGCUGCUGGUGGAACCACAAUCAAUUUCCUCACAUUUUGGAGUAUGCAUGGCUUCCAAGAAACCUUUUGAAGUACAACUCAUCAAGAUGUUCAGCUUUAAAGUCCCCACAAAGAUCUGUUAGUCCUUAACAUGAAAAACUACGCAGAGCUUUCGUCAAUAAACUAAAUUAAAUCACCCACCAAUUUAUGAAAACAUAAAUGCAUUGUUUGAAUUAAGAUUUUGUUUGAAAAUGGACAUCCAGAGAAGCAUGGUGGACUGAAAAUAGCUUCUCUUUCAGCACAGCCAAUGUCAGCCUUCCGAAAUAAAUUAGAUAGGGAACAAAACCAAAUGAGCCAAUUCUGUUUUAUGACAAGGCUUCAUUAACUGAAUCUUCAUACUCAGAGUGCAAAUGUCAACAUGUUGCCCCCAACAAUGUGGUUCUCAUUUUACCAACCUCGGAAGGCUGGAAGCAUGAGUCAACCUUGAACUAGUCAGGAUCGAACUCCUGGCUGUGGGCUGAGUUAGCCUGCAAUAUUGCAUUCUAACCACUGUGCCACCACCAAAUAUAGAUGUUGCUAUUUCUGAUAAGAGAUGAGAUAUGGGAAGAAGAAUUCCUGGAUUUAAAUGUCAGAGAAAAUAAUAAAUUUUUGAAAUUGUA